rnacentral:rRNA from 1 species
UAUUUCUGCCACUGAAUACAUUAGCAUGGGAUAAUGGAAUAGGACCCUGACCUCCUAUUUUCAGUUGGUUUUAAGUAUAAGAGGCUUUAUCAGGGUAAUGAUUAAUAGGGAUAGUUGGGGGCAUUGAUAUUUAAUUGUCAGAGGUGAAAUUCUUGGAUUUAUGAAAGAUCAACUUCUGCGAAAGCAUCUGCCAAGGAUGUUUUCAUUAAUCAAGAACGAAAGUUAGGGGAUCGAAGACGAUCAGAUACCGUCGUAGUCUUAACCAUAAACGAUGCCGACCAGCGAUUAGGAGACGUUGAAUACAAAACACUGCCGUUGAACGUUCACCCGCAAGGGUGGAUUUCAACGGUUAGUGAAUGACUCCCCUAGC